rnacentral:ncRNA from 1 species
CAACGUCUUGGUCCUAGCCUUGAAAUUACUUACAACUAAUCUUAUACAUGCAAGCAUCUACAACCCAGUGCAAACCGCCCAACCAACGGAGCAGAUAUCAGGCACACAUUAUGUAGCCCACAACAUCUAGCCAUGCCACACCCACACGGAACCCAGCAGUAAUAAACAUUAAGCAAUGAGCCUCCCACCACUUCAAGCUCGACUCAGAUAUAGUUCACCUAUUAAGGUCGGUAAACUCCGUGCCAGCCACCGCGGUUACACGAAGGACUCUAAAUAAUAUCACACGGCGUAAAAUGUGACUAAAAGAUAAUUUAACAUAAGGGACAUUAACCAAGACCUAGUCGUAAAAUAUAGACAUCUAAAGAACAUCACCUAGUCCCACCUACAAAUCACCUUUGACUACACGAAAUCUGAGAAACAAACUAGGAUUAGAUACCCUACUAUGCCCAGACAUAAACCAAGGUAGCAGCAUACACCCUAAGCUACUCGCCAGAGAAUUACGUGCAUCAAGCCUAAAACUCAAAGGACUUGACGGUGUCCCAUAUCAACCUAGAGGAGCCUGUCCUAUAAUCGAUAACCCACGAUAUACCUCACCCCCAAUUGCAAAACCUCCCACUAGCAGCCUAUAUACCGCCGUCGCCAGCCUACCUUAUGAGAGCAUAAACCAUAGUAAGCAAAAUAAUUUAUCACUAAAACGUCAGGUCAAGGUGUAGCUAAUUUGGGGGCAGAGAUGGGCUACAUUUUCUACCACAGAAUCCCCAAGCAACAUGAAACACUGCUCUAAGACGGAUUUAGCAGUAAACUGGAAAAGCACCGCCCACUUGAAAUCUGCUCUGGGACGCGUACACACCGCCCGUCACCCUCCUCAAUAAACAACUAAAAUUAUACUAAAUAAAAAACUACUAUAAAUCAGAUGAGGCAAGUCGUAACAUGGUAGUGUACUGGAAAGUGCACUUGGCAAAAA